AACGAACGCUGGCGGCAGGCUUAACACAUGCAAGUCGAGCGCCCCGCAAGGGGAGCGGCAGACGGGUGAGUAACGCGUGGGAACGUACCCUUUGCUACGGAAUAGCUCCGGGAAACUGGAAUUAAUACCGUAUGUGCCCUACGGGGGAAAGAUUUAUCGGCAAAGGAUCGGCCCGCGUUGGAUUAGCUAGUUGGUGGGGUAAUGGCAUACCAAGGCGACGAUCCAUAGCUGGUCUGAGAGGAUGAUCAGCCACAUUGGGACUGAGACACGGCCCCAACUCCUACGGGAGGCAGCAGUGGGGGAUAUUGGACAAUGGGCGCAAGCCUGAUCCAGCCAUGCCGCGUGAGUGAUGAAGGCCGUAGGGUUGUAAAGCUCUUUCACCGGAGAAGAUAAUGACGGUAUCCGGAGAAGAAGCCCCGGCUAACUUCGUGCCAGCCGCCGCCGUAACAC
rnacentral:rRNA from 1 species